UCCAACAUACAAAAGGGAAACUGUUUUAAGAAGGUAGGCAUUUUCUACCUUAUUUUCAUGUAGAAUCUUUUUCUGACCUAAUACCUGCAGCCUACAAUUAUUUUGUCAGAGGCAUAUCCUUCCCUAUUUUGAUGGUAAAAUGUGUAACGUGUCCUUCCACAGUUCAUUAAUUUGUAUUUUGUGUGCAUCUUUCUAACUAUGCAACCCCUAGGCUUUCAGUUAUAUGUUACACUGUUUACUGUUACAGCAACUUACCCAUCAGCAAAAAUCCUAGAAAUGAGCCCAAGCCACUUCUGAAUAUCUGCAUGAGAUAUUUGAGUCUUGGACCAGCUUCAUAAAAGAUGUCUCAUCUCCAGUGAGCAUCAUGUUUGUGGUGUUCCUAACUGUAGACCCUCUCCUUUGGAAGAGAAGCUGAAUUCUCCAUUGAAGAGCUCAUCCUCACCUGCUGCUUUUUCCUGGCUUGUGGGAAAAUGUGGGAUUACUGGGGCCUCUUUACCAGGCUUGUCCCCAGCUCAGUGGGAGUGGUUUCCUGGGCUGUAUUUUCUCCCUAAAAGGUGGAGUUUAUUUCUUGUUUUACUCAGUGAAUGAGGAUGUGCUGGGGAUUUGGAAAGGGGCUGCUCUUUAGCUGGCAAUGCAAGGGAACUGGAUGUACCUGAGUUAAAAAUGUACUUAUUCUUUUUAAGUAAUAUCAACUUUUCUCUCUUUAAAAGAAAUUUAAAUAUGACUUUGUAUAAAUAGGUAUAAAAUAAGGGUGACUUUGGCUGUUUCUAUAGGAAAAAAAAAAGCCCUGGUAUUUACGUCAUUAUUUCUUGGAUUACUUUAAAAUAAAAUAGUUCUCCUUUAUGAUAUAUUGUCUUCA
rnacentral:lncRNA from 1 species